AGUGAACGCUGGCGGUAGGCCUAACACAUGCAAGUCGAACGGCAGCACAGGAGAGCUUGCUCUCUGGGUGGCGAGUGGCGGACGGGUGAGGAAUACAUCGGAAUCUACUCUGUCGUGGGGGAUAACGUAGGGAAACUUACGCUAAUACCGCAUACGACCUACGGGUGAAAGCAGGGGACCUUCGGGCCUUGCUCGAUUGAAUGAGCCGAUGUCGGAUUAGCUAGUUGGCGGGGUAAAGGCCCACCAAGGCGACGAUCCGUAGCUGGUCUGAGAGGAUGAUCAGCCAAACUGGAACUGAGACACGGUCCAGACUCCUACGGGAGGCAGCAGUGGGGAAUAUUGGACAAUGGGCGCAAGCCUGAUCCAGCCAUACCGCGUGGGUGAAGAAGGCCUUCGGGUUGUAAAGCCCUUUUGUUGGGAAAGAAAUCCAGCUGGCUAAUACCCGGUUGGGAUGACGGUACCCAAAGAAUAAGCACCGGCUAACUUCGUGCCAGCCGCCGCGGUAA
rnacentral:rRNA from 1 species